rnacentral:lncRNA from 1 species
GUUUUCGGCUAAUACCAUACCGUCUCCAUUUUUUCACUCCUAGACCAUUCCUUUGCUCUUCUUUUAACUUGAUGGAGGGAAAGAAAACCAUCAAGAAAAUCAAAUAAGGACUAACUGUCUUUUCUUCAUCCUUCUGCGAUUUGGGUAGGCAUUCCUUUAUGUGGGCACUCCUUCUGCGAUUUACUGUUUCUAGAAGCAUUCGUUGAAUUAUUGCUUGCUGGGAUUGUUCACUACUUCUGUUGAUUUUAUGGUGGCUAAACAUGUGCAUUCACCAGUGGUAAAUGAUUCUGUUCUCCAUUCAUUUACUUAUUUCAUGUCUUCUUUUAUAAAAAAUUGCUAAUUGAGAUAGAAGUUUUGAAUAUCAUCUUGUUAUUAUAGUUAUAAAUUGUUGAUUGGAGUAUGAGUUGCAAAGAAAUUCAGGAAGCCUUCUUUUACUAGAAAUGAACUUUAAGUUGUGGCUUUAUGACAAAAUUUCACGUUGUCAUCUCUCAUCUCUUGGUGUCUUAAAUAGGGUUGUAAGAGAGAAGAAAGAUAAAUGACGUAAAGAAGUAAGAAAAAAUAGACAUUACAUAAACAAAUAAAGAAAAGUAGGAAAAACAGAGAGAGCAAAAAAAAAUUACCAAUAAAAAAAAAUCUCUCCGCACUAUGUGGAGAGUUUUGCCAUGGUGUGGAGAGUUUGCCAACUCUCCACACAUGGUUUGUCAUCUCUCCGUACUAUAUGUAUAUUGUUAUUGUAUUUGUUUUAGCUUUUGAUAUCACUUUUGAUAAACAAUAUGUAAUAGUUAAAAUUUCGUCAUCAUUGAAGAAAAAAGCCUCUCUGAACUGUUUGAAUUGUGCGGAGAGUGGUCUCUCCGCAAUGUUCGGAGAGAUUAAUUGAUCUCUCCGAACUGUGUGGAGAAUUUUUUUUCAAUCGAUAUCAUUACUUGAUAAGUGCAUUUCCAUUUUUUUAUAUACAAUUAUAUUUAAUUUAUUUAUAUAAAAUGAUUUAAAAAUAAUAAUUAUUAAGCUAGUAAAAAAUACACUAAAAAAGGCAAAAAAGUAAAAAAAAAAAUGCAUUUACCUAUUUUUAAUUUCGUCUAAUUUACUAAUUUAACUGAAAAAAAUUACACAUGCUGUGUGGAGUCUCCACACUGUGCGGAGUUCGCACUUGUGUGGAGACUUCGCACAAUUUGUGCGGACAAGUGAGGACUCCCUUUUUUUUUUUUUUGCUGAAUCAUGCAAAUAAUAUUUGUUUACUUUGUUAUUUUAUUAGUUAAAAAUAUGCAUUAAAUCUAAAAAAAUAAAAAUACAAGAAUAAGUUUAAAAUAAAAUAAAAAAACUCUCCUCCAUAUGUGCAGAGACUCCGCACAUUUUUUUGUACGGAGUCUCCGCAUGUCGGGAGUAAUGUGCGGACACUCCGCACUCCAUCCGCACAAUGAAUGCGGACAUUUUGAACAGAUUGUACGGAGUGUUAGCACAAUGUGCUGUGCGGACGGAAUGCGCACACUCCGCAUAGAUUGUAGUAUUUUUUUUUAGUUUUUUUUUUUUUAAGUAGAAAUAUGAGAUUCUUGGUAGAAUCUAUUAAGUGGUCAUCAAAUUUGUUGAAUCAUAAAAGUUAGAUUUCUUUUUGAUUUUCUAAUUUUAUGAAGUUUUUAAAUUAAGUUGUUUAUCACCUUCUGGUGAUAUAGAUUCUCUGUAAGUUAAAAAACCAUAGAAAAUAAAAAUAAAAGAACUCCUCUGCAUAGUUAGAGAGUUGAAGUGAACUCUUCGAACAGUGGGAGAGUUCACUUGAACUCUCCGCACGGUCCAGAGGGUUGGAAGUGAACUCUCCGCACAGUCCGGAGAGUUUCUACCAACCCUCCGCACAAUGCGUUGAGUUCACGUGAACUCUCCUAACUGUGCGGAGGGUUUCCCUCCGCACAAUACGAAGAGUUGGAGACUUGAUCUCCCGACAGUUUAGAGAGUCACUUUGAGAGACAAAUGGGGGGAAGUUAUGGUGCAUCCGCAAGGCGAUCUUAUGUAGGGAAAAAGAGUCAUAUGAACAUGACGUGCUAUGUUUGCGAUGUGAGAGGAAACAACAAGCAACAUCAUUCCACGCCACCUGUUACAUUGGAUGUAAGUAUCCUAAAAUUGAUACCAAUAAAUUUCUGACAACUAAAAUUUUCUUAUUUUGUAUUUUAAAACUUGUUUGAUGCAACAUUGGAGGAAGUGAAUUCUCAACCAACAAGAGUACAAAGCGCAAGUAUAAGUUCACAACUUCAAGUACAUGAUUGAAUAUCUAUUAUGUUAUUACUUUUUUUUUCAUAUUUGCUAUUCAACGUUGUAGGGAAAGUUUUCUGCAAGAAAAGGGAAUCAUCCAUCGACCAAUCGACACCAGUGCAGACCAUUUGGAGAAAAAAUGACGAACCAUGGGUAGAAAUGUCGGAGGAAAUUGUGGAUAGUUUUCAAGAGAUAGAAGCUGUUGCAUUUUCGUAACUAAGGAUAUCUAGAGUUUAUUCCAGGCCACAUGUGACGAUGGCUUCGCCGAAGCUAAAAUCUGGAUGUAGUUUACAUGCAAACGAAGGAGGAUAUUGCUUGUAGCUUCUUUAUUUUGAAAUGAAUGAAUGUACAUUUAUGUAACACGUUUAUGUUACGUAUCGAACAAGUACUUUAUAAGUUUUUGGGGGUAAGCUUAUAUCAUUUUUUUGUGUAAAGACAUAUUAGGAAGAUUAAUGUAUUUACCAUCUUGCAAAG